CCUUGAAUUUAAUGAUGUUUGCCGAUAGUCACGGGAUAUCUUUGAUUAUAGUACUUUUUUCCACUUACUCCAAUUACAGACUCGAUCAAACACGUCCAAAAGGGUAAUUUUUGGGGUUCAUUAAACUGAUCAAAAUAUCUGGUGUAAUCCAGACAUUCUUAUCAUCACCUACUACUGUGAGCUUCCUAGAAAUCAGACACUUAUCAUCACCGACUACUAUGAGCUCCCUGGAAACCAGACAUUUUUUUGUGUUUUAUUCUUUGAAUUCCUCUUAAAUGUCCACUGUAACUAUGGUUUCUCUACUGUGAGGAGGCUCUAGUUGCAGACAUUAAAAAGGAGAACUCAAGUAGGAAUCCGAAGCCAGCAGAGCGCUCUGUAGGUUGUAACAGAACAAGAAAUUGAGGAAAUUAUUCUUCAUGAGAAUAAUACUCCUCAGGAGGAAAUAUAUGUGGUUGCUGGAAAAGACUCGGCUGAGAGCGUCAGAGCUCUCAAAUGGGCGCUACAAAACCUGGAUAAUAGACAAGAAACCUUAAUAAUUCUUCUUCAUGUCCGCCUUCCACUGCGCUACAUGCCAUCACCCAGUAAAAUUCUUCUGAAUCAAGUGAGCAAGGAUGUCGUGAAGGCCCACCUCAAGGUUAAAGAGACGGAGCUCGACACUUGCAUGAAAAAAUACUUGGAUAUUUGCGAAGGAGCCCAGGUAGAAUCCCUAUAAAUGCUAUUAAAACGCUGCAGAAAUCUCACUUUUAUGAAAAUAAUGAGAGCGUUGAUGAACUGUGCAACAGUUCAAAGCAGAGCUUUUGUUUGUGGAGAAGGACGAUGUUGCCAAGGGAAUUGUUGAAGUGAUCUCAGAGAAGGGCGUCAAGAAGCUUGUCAUGGGAACAAUUUUAGCCGGCGGAUGAGGAUUCGAAAGCGAGGCAAAGCGAAUUAUGUCCCAAAGCACGCCAUGGAGUCCUGAGACGUCGCGAUCGUGUGUAAAGACAAACUCCAGUUACGAAGGCAAGGCUCUCCGGUAGAUGAUGUAGCCAUGAAAUCUAAGAGCUUCGACAGUCCUUUGUCUGAUUUGCUGGGAAAACCUUCGGAAGCCUCUACAAUUCAUGUUUCUCCUGAAAAUUAUAACAGAUCGGGAUCUGCACAUCGGCAAUCAGACUCCGUCGAGUAUUGCGGUGAAUGGAGAUGUCACCAGUACUAGGUCCGAAGAAGGGAACAAUUCAGAGAGAACGUUCACGAUCGAUAAGGAUUCCUCUGAUUCCCAUCGGAAGACAGUACGAUAAACCUUUUUGAUGAAGUAUAUUCUCAUGGUACUGUCCAAAAUGAAUCCCAAGGACAUCAGGAUGCGAAUAGGGAUAUUGAAACCUUGAAAGACGAGCUCACACAGGCCUCGAGCAUGACAGAGAACGUGGAAGCAGUAUCGCGAAAGGACACCACCAAACGGAAAAAAGCAGAAAUGGCUGCGCUUAAAGUGAAUUACAGAAUUAAAGAGCUUGAAUCCGGCUUCAAUGAAAAGGUCAAAGAAAAAGAAAGGUGACCUCUCUCUUAAGACUUGCCGAAGAGAAAUGCCAGGAAUUUAGCAGGCGACAAAUCGAGGUCGAAGAAAAUCUUGAGUCAAUGGCUGAGAAACUAAACAAAAUCUCAUGUGAAAGAAACGAAGCCAUCCAUGAGCUCCAAGCAGCAUAGCGAAAGCUUGCAGCGACAGCAGAGCAAAAUCACAGCAUACUGCAAGACAAAGAAGCUCAAAUUAGACUUCUUCAAGACCGGUUGCAUUCAAGGCCAUUGCUCAAAACCUUGAGCUCGUUCUCCUCGUUUUGUAAUCUUGAAUUCAGCGAGUACACUUUUGACGAUGUCUAACUUCUCUGAGCAUUUAAAACUCGGGGAAGGAGGCUAUGGCAUCGUUUACAAAGGCGAAAUUGGGCAAACAACCCUUGCACUCAAAAUUCUCAGUGAGAACAGCUUACAGGGCCAACAGGAGUUCGAACGCGAGGUAUAUAUGUUAGCGUGAGUUUUGCAUCCAGUUUGCAUGAUCCUCUCUCACUCUCCGUGAAUGAUGGACCGCUUGCAUGAUCCUCUCCAUUAUCUCCAAGAAUAGUGGAUCUGUUUUCAUGCAAACUACAGAUCAAUAAGUUUAACUAAGCAUUUUUCACCGCUAAUUUCAUACUUCUGUGCGGUGCCUUGUUUCUAUAAAUCAUGCUUUUGCAUAAU